GUCUUCCACAUCCCAGAUUCUAGCCCUGAUGCUAGGGAGCUGCUGAAUAAGAAGAAUAAAAACCCUGCACUUAUGGAGCUUAAAUUCUAGUGAGAUCCUUGAAAAAACAAACAGUGAGUGAUGUAGUUUCAGUAAGAUUUUUGUAAGUGCUUCUUAAGUGAAUACAUGUCAGCAUGCGUGACUGAGACCUCCACAGUUCUAUCCAAUACACUCUGAAAAGUCAUUUCAGGAGCUUACAGAUUAACUAGUGGAAAAGAAAAAUGUUUUCCUAAGCUUCACACAGAGAAAGAAGCUUCUCCAAAUCAGAAGGCAAGCAGAAUUGGUGGUAAAGGAAAGAGAAGGAGACAUCAAGUCCAUCCCAAGAGGCAUGGCAGAAACCUCCAAAUCCUAGAAGUCGAGAGAAAAUGAGGAGAGAAAUUACAUGUGUUUGCCAACAGGAAUUACAUAGUGGAGAAGAAAAAAAGUUGAUGCUGCAGGGGAAAGAAGAAAAGUUACUGAAACAGUGACCGUGAGUAGAUUCUCACAUCAAGAAGUUGAAUCUCGGGCUUCCCUGGUGGCGCAGUGGUUGAGAGUCCGCCUGCCGAUGCAGGGGACACGGGUUCGUGCCCCGAUCCCGGAAGAUCCCACAUGCCGCGGAGCGGCUGGGCCCGCGAGCCAUGGCCGCGGAGCCUGUGUGUCCGGAGCCUGUGCUCCGCAACGGGAGAGGCCACAGCAGUGAGAGGCCCGCGUACAGCAAAAAAAAAAAAAAGAAGUUGAAUCUCUUUUCCUUCUCUUGAAUCCUCCUGACCUUGUGCCUUGCUUUGACUAAUAGAAUAAUGUGGGAGUGACAUUCUGGGCUUUCCAAGCCUGAGCCUUAAGAAGUCAUCCUCUUCUGCUGCCUCCUUCUUCGAACCCACUGCCACACUCUAAGAAAUGCCUGGCACCGGAUGUUCAGUGUUCAAACGCAGAACCAUGGAAGUUGAGAGGCCACUGUGGCUUCCGACUGAAUCCCCCUAAGCUGCUGCCCGUGGAGAAGAAUUGCCCAGCCGACUCCUGCCCAAGUUCCUGACCACCAAUUGUGAGAAAUAACAAAUCAUUUUUAAGCCAUUAAUUUUGGGGACUUUGUAAGGCAGAAAUAAUUCAUCGAAAUACCUGUGAAAUUUUUUAAAAAUUUCACUUGAAAGUGAGGAUGGAAAAGGUGUAGGAGUUUGAGGGGGAGAGAAAAAGAUUUGAAAAAGUCGGAGAGGAGGAGAUUUCGGAGAGAAACAGUGUGACCGUUGGGAAGCACGAAGGUGAAUUUAAAGGGAAAAGAAUCAGUGUGUGAGUUGUUCUCCAGCCACCUUCAGCUGCUCCGGUGCAGGCUGGGACCUGGAGAGGGUUGGAUUUCAGCUGGGCUGGAUUUGUGACAGGUGAGUUUGGAAGGAUGUUGAAGGGAUGUAAGAGACCUGUUGUAACGAAUGGUCACGGGAUUCCAUUUCAUGGGCUAAUAAAUCAUUUUCAAACUA